rnacentral:rRNA from 1 species
UGGGGAAUUUUACGCAAUGGGGGAAACCCUGACGUAGCGACACCGCGUGAGCGAAGAAGCCCUUUGGGGUGUAAAGCUCUGUCAGCUGGAACGAAAACAAUGACGGUACCAGCAGAGGAAGCAUCGGCUAACUACGUG